GAUGAACGCUGGCGGCGUGCCUAAUACAUGCAAGUCGAGCGAACGGACGAGAAGCUUGCUUCUCUGAUGUUAGCGGCGGACGGGUGAGUAACACGUGGAUAACCUACCUAUAGGACUGGGAUAACUUCGGGAAACCGGAGCUAAUACCGGAUAAUAUUUUGAACCGCAUGGUUCAAAAGUGAAAGACGGUCUUGCUGUCACUUAUAGAUGGAUCCGCGCUGCAUUAGCUAGUUGGUAAGGUAACGGCUUACCAAGGCAACGAUGCAUAGCCGGCCUGAGAGGGUGAUCGGCCACACUGGAACUGAGACACGGUCCAGACUCCUACGGGAGGCAGCAGUAGGGAAUCUUCCGCAAUGGGCGAAAGCCUGACGGAGCAACGCCGCGUGAGUGAUGAAGGUCUUCGGAUCGUAAAACUCUGUUAUUAGGGAAGAACAUAUGUGUAAGUAACUGUGCACAUCUUGACGGUACCUAAUCAGAAAGCCACGGCUAACUACGUG
rnacentral:rRNA from 1 species